rnacentral:rRNA from 1 species
UACGAAGGGUGCGAGCGUUGUUCGGAAUUACUGGGCGUAAAGGGCGCGUAGGCGGGUCUGUAAGUCGAUUGUGAAAGCCCUGGGCUUAACCCGGGAAUGGCAGUCGAAACUGCAGAUCUUGAAUGCUUGAGAGGAUGGCGGAAUUCCCGGUGUAGUAGUGAAAUACGUAGAUAUCGGGAAGAACACCUGAGGCGAAGGCGGCUAUCUGGCGAUGCAUUGACGCUGAGGCGCGAAAGCGUGGGGAGCAAACAGG